CCUACGGGAGGCAGCAGUAGGGAAUAUUGCUCAAUGGGGGAAACCCUGAACCAGCAACGCCGCGUGCAGGAUGAAGGUUUUCGGAUUGUAAACUCCUUUUGGUAGAGAGGAUAAUGACGGUAUCUGACGAAUAAGCACCGGCUAACUCCGUGCCAGCAGCCGCGGUAAUACGGAGGGUGCAAGCGUUACUCGGAAUAACUGGGCGUAAAGAGCGCGUAGGCGGGAUAGCAAUUCAGAUGUGAAAUCCUAUGGUUUAAACAUAGAACUGCAUUUGAUACUGUUAGUCUAGAGUAUGGGAGGGGUAGGUGGAAUUCUUGGUGUAGGGGUAAAAUGCGUAGAGAUCAAGCGGAAUACUCAUUGCGAAGGCGACCUGCUAGAACAUAACUGACGCUGAUGCGCGAAAGCGUGGGGAGCAAACAGGAUUAGAUACCCUAGUAGUC
rnacentral:rRNA from 1 species